UGCGCAGGCGGAUUAAUAAGUCGGGGUUAAAUCCAUGUGCUUAACACAUGCACGGCUUCCGAUACUGUUGAUCUAGAGUCUCGAAGAGGAAGGUGGAAUUUCCGGUGUAACGGUGGAAUGUGUAGAUAUCGGAAAGAACACCAGUGGCGAAGGCAGCCUUCUGGUCGAGUACUGACGCUCAUGCACGAAAGCGUGGGGAGCAAACA
rnacentral:rRNA from 1 species